rnacentral:rRNA from 1 species
UACGUAGGGUGCGAGCGUUGUCCGGAAUUAUUGGGCGUAAAGGGCUCGUAGGCGGUUUGUCGCGUCGGGAGUGAAAACGCCGUGCUUAACACGGCGCUUGCUUUCGAUACGGGCAGACUAGAGGUAUGCAGGGGAGAACGGAAUUCCUGGUGUAGCGGUGAAAUGCGCAGAUAUCAGGAGGAACACCGGUGGCGAAGGCGGUUCUCUGGGCAUGACCUGACGCUGAGGAGCGAAAGCCAGGGGAGCAAACGGG